UCCGAGUUGGCCCCGGCAGUCUCCCACGAGUCCCCGGCAUGACCCGCUGGCAACAUGGGACAAGGGUUGCGCUCGUUGCGCCACUUAAGGCAACACCUCACGGCACGAGCUGACGACAGCCAUGCACCACCUGUGCAGGCUCCGUAGAGCUCCGGCUUUCACCGGCUUCACCCUGCAUGUCAAGCCCAGGUAAGGUUCUUCGCGUCGCAUCGAAUUAAACCACAUGCUCCACCGCUUGUGCGGGCCCCCGUCAAUUCCUUUGAGUUUCAGCCUUGCGGCCGUACUCCCCAGGCGGGGCACUUAAUGCGUUAGCGCCGGCACCCAGGGGGUCGCUCCCCCAGGCACCUAGUGCCCAUCGUUUACGGCGUGGACUAC
rnacentral:misc_RNA from 1 species